CUGAAGCCUGGUGCUUGCACCGGGUGGAUGAGUGGCGAACGGGUGAGUAACACGUGAGUAACCUGCCCCUGACUUCGGGAUAAGCCCGGGAAACUGGGUCUAAUACCGGAUACGACUGCCGGACGCAUGUCUGGUGGUGGAAAGUUUUUUCGGUUGGGGAUGGGCUCGCGGCCUAUCAGUUUGUUGGUGAGGUAAUGGCUCACCAAGACGACGACGGGUAGCCGGCCUGAGAGGGCGACCGGCCACACUGGGACUGAGACACGGCCCAGACUCCUACGGGAGGCAGCAGUGGGGAAUAUUGCACAAUGGGGGAAACCCUGAUGCAGCGACGCAGCGUGCGGGAUGACGGCCUUCGGGUUGUAAACCGCUUUCAGCAGGGAAGAAGCGCAAGUGACGGUACCUGCAGAAGAAGUACCGGCUAACUACGUGCCAGCAGCCGCGGUAAUACGUAGGGUACGAGCGUUGUCCGGAAUUAUUGGGCGUAAAGAGCUCGUAGGUGGUUGGUCACGUCUGCUGUGGAAACGCAACGCUUAACGUUGCGCGUGCAGUGGGUACGGGCUGACUAGAGUGCAGUAGGGGAGUCUGGAAUUCCUGGUGUAGCGGUGAAAUGCGCAGAUAUCAGGAGGAACACCGGUGGCGAAGGCGGGACUCUGGGCUGUAACUGACACUGAGGAGCGAAAGCAUGGGGAGCGAACAGGAUUAGAUACCCUGGUAGUCCAUGCCGUAAACGUUGGGCACUAGGUGUGGGGGGCAUUCCACGUUCUCCGCGCCGUAGCUAACGCAUUAAGUGCCCCGCCUGGGGAGUACGGUCGCAAGGCUAAAACUCAAAGGAAUUGACGGGGGCCCGCACAAGCGGCGGAGCAUGCGGAUUAAUUCGAUGCAACGCGAAGAACCUUACCAAGGCUUGACAUACACCGGACCGUCCUGGAAACAGGUCCUCUUCUUUGAAGCUGGUGUACAGGUGGUGCAUGGUUGUCGUCAGCUCGUGUCGUGAGAUGUUUGGGUUAAGUCCCGCAACGAGCGCAACCCUCGUUC
rnacentral:rRNA from 1 species